rnacentral:lncRNA from 1 species
GUUGAAUUUCUCCUCAAUAUUUCUGAUACUGGUUUUCAGUUCCAAGUUAAGUUCCGUUAUCGUCAGUAGCUGUGAACUUUAUCUUGGAGGUAUUAACUUCAAUAGAAUUAUGCCGCUCGAUAAAGGGAACAAAAUUAUCAACAAAGCGUAUUUACUCUCGUAUCUGCCUUUAUCUUACUGUAAACUAGGUAUAUGUUAACAUUUAUU